rnacentral:lncRNA from 10 species
UUAAACUUUGAGAUUCCCAGUGCAUACUUCUGUUUUUUCCGUUAUAGCAUUUGAUACAUUAUAUACAUUGAUUUAUGCAGCAAAUAUUUAUUGAGUGUCUGCCAGGUGCCAAGCCUUGCUCUAAUCCCCAGGGGAUACAUCAGAGACACCUAGACAAUUGCUUGUUUGUGUCUCAGUCUCUGAUCUCCCAGUCCCCACAGGGUGAGAAAGAAGGAAGCGGCAUUCCUCGGCUUAGCUACAUGUCUCAACCAAUGUGUUCAACGCGAGUUUUCUCAAAUGGGCAAGCGAAUCUGAUAGCUAUACCUGUGGUCACUGGAUCUGCAAGAGUGGAUGUACAAAAGCUGCCUUCCUACUGUGGUUUGAGAAUCCACAGGCGGCUGGAAAAACCUUGAGUUGCUUCUCACAACCCAUGGAUUGCGUCAUCCCAGCCUUCAGCUCCACACCCUGCAUCUGCGGCUAGGAACUGAGGCAGGAGAGAAAAUCAGGGAAGAAAAAAGAAGGCACGGUAGAGGUUAACACAAGUUUUAAACUUUAAAAUUUGAUGAACGGCUAGCGGCCUAUGGAGACCUACAGGAAUCCUAAGUUAACAUCAGGUGCACACACCUGGGGCCUUGUGUUUGGUCCAGCCACUUGGAUCAUGCCCAUGGACAAGCCCCUGGGAGAGACUGCAGCUCCAGACUCUUCCAAGAAGACAUUAGCAAGGAUUUAUAUUUCUGCUCCAGCCCCCUCUCACCUUCUGGCAUUUGGAAAAGACGUCAUAGGAGCCAGCCUGGCCACAGGGGAACAGCAGCAAAAGUGGGGGACAAACAGAACAAAGAGAGUGUUCUCAGCUUAAUGAAGAAUGAUACAGAUGAAGGGAAGCUGGGGAAAAGAACUCACCCCUUUUGCAUACCUACCCUGCUCCAGGUGCUCUGCAUCUGCCACCGUGCAGAUUGUUACAGCAACUCACCAGACCACAACUUGCAGCUCACAACACAACAGGAAGCUUAAAGAUGCUUUGCUUGCUAAAGUGGAAGGCUGAAAGGAGCAGAACCAGAAGAGUGCUGGAGAGAUGGAUGUGGGUGGCGUUUGUUUUAUGUACUUACAAAAGAAGAGCUGCAAGUAGCAUAUGAAUCUCCGGUUCAAUUAGACAAACUUGUAGAGAAGAAAAAGAACUUCCUCAAGAAACUGACCACCACCCUGGAGUGGUUAAGAAUUGACCACUCAACAACGCUGGAUUAUAGCAAAUAAAUUUUCACGUUAGAUUGUUAAAAAAAAAUAGUGAACCCUUACACAGCAUUUGUUAUGUGUCAUGAGUUUUUCUGAGUUUUUCAUAUAAUAGCACAGUUAAUCUGUAUCAAAUCUUUGAGUUAGGUACUGUAUAUGAUCUCUAUUUUAUAAAUGCAGUAACGGU